rnacentral:rRNA from 1 species
CAGUCGAGCGAGCGGAACCACAGAUUUACUUCGGUAAUGACGUUGGGAAAGCGAGCGGCGGAUGGGUGAGUAACACGUGGGGAACCUGCCCCUAAGUCUGGGAUACCAUUUGGAAACAGGUGCUAAUACCGGAUAAUAAAGCAGAUCGCAUGAUCAGCUUUUGAAAGGCGGCGUAAGCUGUCGCUAAGGGAUGGCCCCGCGGUGCAUUAGCUAGUUGGUAAGGUAACGGCUUACCAAGGCGACGAUGCAUAGCCGAGUUGAGAGACUGAUCGGCCACAUUGGGACUGAGACACGGCCCAAACUCCUACGGGAGGCAGCAGUAGGGAAUCUUCCACAAUGGACGCAAGUCUGAUGGAGCAACGCCGCGUGAGUGAAGAAGGUUUUCGGAUCGUAAAGCUCUGUUGUUGGUGAAGAAGGAUAGAGGUAGUAACUGGCCUUUAUUUGACGGUAAUCAACCAGAAAGUCACGGCUAACUACGUGCCAGCAGCCACGGUAAUACGUAGGUGGCAAGCGUUGUCCGGAUUUAUUGGGCGUAAAGCGAGCGCAGGCGGAAAAAUAAGUCUAAUGUGAAAGCCCUCGGCUUAACCGAGGAACUGCAUCGGAAACUGUUUUUCUUGAGUGCAGAAGAGGAGAGUGGAACUCCAUGUGUAGCGGUGGAAUGCGUAGAUAUAUGGAAGAACACCAGUGGCGAAGGCGGCUCUCUGGUCUGCAACUGACGCUGAGGCUCGAAAGCAUGGGUAGCGAACAGGAUUAGAUACCCUGGUAGUCCAUGCCGUANACGAUGAGUGCUAAGUGUUGGGAGGUUUC